rnacentral:misc_RNA from 1 species
GGAACGUGAAAAGUGACAAGGAAGAUAACAUUUCUUGGUUGCAAAUGAUCCUAAAAUUGAGUGACAAUGAAUGAAAAUUAACCCAAGUUAAUCUAGUCAAAAUUGAGAAAAUUUCAAGAAAAAAAAAAUUUUAAGUUGAACACUGGUACUGAAAUUAAGUGACUACAAGGACAUUUAGCUAUUGGAGUAAACAUGGCUCAAAACACCCCCAUCCCUCUAGUGAACAUAUAUUCUUGUUUGAAUUGGAAAAAUUCCUGGCACGUCUUGCCAACCCAGGACAGGAUGGCAAAACAACUCUUGCGUAACAAUCGUUUUCAUUUAAGCAUAUCCACAAUUCUAGACGCAUAUUACAAUGUUGUGGGUGUCAUCAAUUGGAUAUAAUUAGCUUUCCCUUUUCAGAAAGUAGAAAAAGAAUAAUCCAAAUGGAAGCAAAAUUCGAAUAUGGUUAUGCUGUUCUUCUUUUCUUUUGUAUUGACACUGUAGAAUGAUGAAAAUUUCUAUGACACGGCCAUUAGCCCAUAAAGAAAUCGUCUAACAUGCAGCCAGUAGCCAUAGCAUAAUUAGAGAUGAUAUUGCAAUAGUUACCCAGCUCAAAAAGGCCAAUGCAACUGACAUUUGGUACUUUUCGCAUUCCCUCAAAUAACUACAGUGUCCAACAUCAUGAAACAGGAGCACUGUGAUGCCUGCCGAGGCAGAAGCUGCUGCUAGAGACAACGUUGCUGUUACCUGUUAAAAUGAUAACAAUAUUAACACACAACUCUUUCCGAUUAGUGACUCAAAAAUGAUUUGAGAACAGUAGAAGGUUUUACGGAGGCUGACCCAAUCUCCCACUACGAAAAGGCUGACUAAAAUAGAAUUGUGGAGAACCUUCUUCCGGACCAAGGCAUAUGCAUCUAAUAAUGCAAGUCCAAAGCUCCAUAUGACUUGCAAACCCAUUGAAGCUAUAAGAUAGCAGAAAGCAGUGAAAUUGAAGAAGUUGGAAGUGGUGGCCAUGGCAGUAAUUGAGCCCACUGCAAAAAUACACUGCGAAAUCCUCAAAGCAAGAGCAGUCAAUGUUCCCGGAGUCCCAGCAAAAUCCUUCAUUUUUUUUUUUUUUUCUGUUUCUUCCCCUUCUCUUUUUUU